rnacentral:rRNA from 1 species
UACGUAGGGGGCAAGCGUUGUCCGGAUUUAUUGGGCGUAAAGAGCGUGUAGGCGGCCGUGUAGGUCCGUUGUGAAAACUCGAGGCUCAACCUCGAGACGUCGAUGGAAACCACACGGCUAGAGUCCGGAAGAGGAGAGUGGAAUUCCUGGUGUAGCGGUGAAAUGCGCAGAUAUCAGGAGGAACACCGGUGGCGAAGGCGGGUCUCUGGGCCGAUACUGACGCUGAGGAGCGAAAGCGUGGGGAGCGAACAGG